rnacentral:rRNA from 1 species
ACUCCUACGGGAGGCAGCAGUCGAGAAUCUUCCGCAAUGGACGAAAGUCUGACGGAGCGACGCCGCGUGGUGGAUGAAGCCCUUAGGGGCGUAAACACCUUUUAUGAGUGAAGAAGUUUAUUGACAUUAGCUCAUGAAUAAGGGCUCCCAACUCUGUGCCAGCAGGAGCGGUAAUACAGAGGCCCCAAGCAUUAUCCGGAUUCACUGGGCGUAAAGGGUGCGUAGGCGGUGUGAUUAGUCAGGUGUUAAAUCCUUGGGCUCAACCUAAAGAAUCGCAUUUGAAACGGUCACACUAGAAGAAGUCAGAGGUAAAGCAGAACUCUCGGUGUAGGGGUGAAAAUCCGUUGAUAUCGAGGGGAAUACCAAAUGCGAAGGCAGCUUACUGGGGCUUUCUUGACGCUGAGGCACGAAAAGCGUGGGUAGCGAACGGGAUUAGAUACCCUGGUAGGCUCU